GAAUAUUGUUGAAUUUACUGCUGUAAAGUAAUGGAGUACCAUCGGCCACUUUGACAUUGAAAGGCUUGGUCGGCUUUCCUGGAAGUUUGAGUAUCUCAGCAAUUUUCGCAUUGACGAAAUUGUGAGUUGAGCCGCUGUCAAUCAGAGCAAUUAAUUCGAAGGAAUUGAUUUGGAUAGCAACUCUCAUAGUACCCACUGAAGACCAUCCUGUAAGGGCAUGCAAAGAAAUCUCAGGCUCUGCGGCAUUA
rnacentral:lncRNA from 1 species